GAUGAACGCUGGCGGCGUGCCUAAUACAUGCAAGUCGAGCGAACAGACGAGGAGCUUGCUCCUCUGACGUUAGCGGCGGACGGGUGAGUAACACGUGGAUAACCUACCUAUAAGACUGGGAUAACUUCGGGAAACUGGAGCUAAUACCGGAUAAUAUAUUGAACCGCAUGGUUCAAUAGUGAAAGACGGUUUUGCUGUCACUUAUAGAUGGAUCCGCGCCGCAUUAGCUAGUUGGUAAGGUAACGGCUUACCAAGGCAACGAUGCGUAGCCGACCUGAGAGGGUGAUCGGCCACACUGGAACUGAGACACGGUCCAGACUCCUACGGGAGGCAGCAGUAGGGAAUCUUCCGCAAUGGGCGAAAGCUUGACGGAGCAACGCCGCGUGAGUGAUGAAGGUCUUCGGAUCGUAAAACUCUGUUAUUAGGGAAGAACAAAUGUGUAAGUAACUAUGCACGUCUUGACGGUACCUAAUCAGAAAGCCACGGCUAACUACGU
rnacentral:rRNA from 1 species